ACUCAAAGGAAUUGACGGGGGCUCACACAAGCGGUGGAGGAUGUGGUUUAAUUCGAAGCAACGCGCAGAACCUUACCAGGUCUUGACAUGCUGGGAUUAAGACGGCGAAAGCCGACGGAUUGCCCGCAAGGGUGUAACCAGCACAGGUGCUGCAUGGCUGUCGUCAGCUCGUGCCGUGAGGUGUCAGGUUAAGUCCUUUAACGAGCGAAACCCCUACGUCGAGUUGCCAACGGGUAAAGCCGGGAACUUUCGACGGACUGCCGCGCAAGCUGGAGGAGGGAGGGGACGACGUCAAGUCAUCAUGGCCUUUAUGACCUGGGCCACACACGUCCUACAAUGGGUGGUACAACGGGAAGCUAAAUCGCAAGAUCAUGCCAAUCCCUGAAAGCCACCCUCAGUUCGGAUUGUGGGCUGCAAUUCGCCCACAUGAAGCUGGAAUCGCUAGUAAUCGCGGAUCAGCCACGCCGCGGUGAAUAUGUUCCUGAGCCUUGUACACACCGCCCGU
rnacentral:rRNA from 1 species